rnacentral:rRNA from 1 species
AAUGAACGCUGGCGGCAGGCCUAAAACAUGCAAGUCGAACGGUAACAGGUCUUCGGAUGCUGACGAGUGGCGCACGGGUGAGUAACACGUGGGAAUAUGCCUUUUGGUACGGAACAACAGUUGGAAACGACUGCUAAUACCGUAUGGUCCCUUCGGGGAAAAGAUUUAUCGCCAAAAGAUUAGCCCGCGUUGGAUUAGCUAGUUGGUAGGGUAAUGGCCUACCAAGGCUACGAUCUAUAGCUGGUCUGAGAGGAUGAUCAGCCACACUGGGACUGAGACACGGUCCAGACUCCUACGGGAGGCAGCAGUUAGGAAUAUUGGACAAUGGGCGCAAGCCUGAUCCAGCCAUGCCGCGUGAGUGAUGAAGGCCUUCGGGUUGUAAAGCUCUUUAGCCGACGAAUAUAAUGACUGUAGUCGGAAAAUAAGCCCCGGCUAACUUCGUGCCAGCCGCCGCCGUAA